GGGGGGUACGUUAUCGGAAUACUGCGGCGUAAAGCGCGCGUAGGCGGCUUGAUAAGCCGGUUGUGAAAGCCCCGGGCCCAUCUGGGAAGGGCAUCCGGAACUGUCAAGCUUGAGUGCACGACUGGAAAGUGGAAUUCCCGGUGUAGCGGUGAAAUGCGUAGAGAUCGGGAGGAAUACCAGUGGCGAAGGCGGCCUUCUGGACUGACACUGACACUGAGGUGCGAAAGCGUGGGUAGCAAACAGGAUUAGAUACCCUGGUAGUCCACGCCGUAAACGAUGUCGACCAGCCGUUGGGUGCCUACCGCACUUUGUGGCGAAGUUAACGCCAUAAGUCAACCGCCUGGGGAGUACGGCCGCAAGGAUAGAACUCAAAUGAAUUGACGGGGGCCCGCACAAGCGGUGGAACAUGUGGUUUAAUUCCAUGCAACGCGAAGAACCUUACCUACUCUUGACAUCCUGCGAAUUUGGUAGAGAUACCUUAGUGCCUUCGGGAACGCAAAGACAGGUGCUGCAUGGCUGUCGUCAGCUCGUGUUGUGAAAUGUUGGGUUAAGUCCCGUAACGAGCGCAACCCUUGUCCUUAUUUGCCAGCGCGUAAUGGCGGGAACUCUAAGGAGACUGCCGGUGAAAACCGGAGGAAGGGGGGACGACGUAAGUCAUCAUGGCCCUUACGAUAGGGCUACACACGUGCUAAAUGGUCGGUAAAAGGGUUGCCAACUCGCGAGAGUGACCAAUCCCGAAAGCCGAUCUCAUCCGGAUCGGAUCUGCACUCGACUCCGUGAAUCGGAAUCGCUGUAAUCGAAAUCAAAUGCUAGGUGAAACGUUCCCGGCCUUGUCACCCGCCCGUCACACCAUGGGAGUGACUGCCCAGAAUGGUUAGCUAACGCAGAGGCGAUCACACAGGUGGUCAUGACUGGGUGAAUCUAAGGGGAUACCCAAAAUCUUAAGAAAACUAGUAUCUUUUAUAGU
rnacentral:rRNA from 2 species